rnacentral:rRNA from 1 species
CAGUCGCGUAGGCUUGGAAUCAGCCUUGCUUUUGCUUGGUGUACUUCCUUGUUAACGGGUCAGCAUCAAUUUUGACCGGUGGAAAAAGGCCAGAUGAAUGUGGCAUCUUCGGAUGUGUUAUAGCUUCUGGUCGUGUACAUCGGUUGGGAUUGAGGAGCUCAGCACGCUUCGGUUGUGCUUUGAUGCUGGCGUAAUGGCUUUAAGCGACCCGUCUUGAAACACGGACCAAGGAGUCUAACAUAUGUGCGAGUGUUU